rnacentral:tRNA from 1 species
GCCCCUGUGGCGAAAUUGGUAGACGCGCUUGACUCAAAAUCAAGUGGGGAGACUCGUGUUGGUUCGACUCCGACCAGGGGCA